GCCUGGGUGGCUCAGUCGGUUAAGCCUCUGACUUCAGCUCAGGUCAUGAUCUCACAGUUUGUGGGUUUGAGUCCCACAUUGGGCU
rnacentral:tRNA from 1 species